rnacentral:rRNA from 1 species
GAUGAACGCUAGCUACAGGCUUAACACAUGCAAGUCGAGGGACCGGCGCACGGGUGAGUAACACGUAUCCAACCUGCCCUUUACUCGGGGAUAGCCUUUCGAAAGAAAGAUUAAUACCCGAUAUAAAGGAUGGGGAUGCGUUGCAUUAGGUUGUUGGUGAGGUAACGGCUCACCAAGCCUUCGAUGGAGAGGGGUUCUGAGAGGAAGGUCACCGACAUUGGAACUGAGGCGCGGUCCAAACGCCUACGGGAGGCAGCAGUGAGGGAUGUUUGUCAAUGGGCGCUAGCCUGAACCAGCCGAGUAGCGUGAAGGAUGAAGGCGUAUGGGGCGUGUAAUUCUUUUAUAUAAGAAAGUGUAUUAUAUGAAUAAGGAUCGGCUAACUCCGUGCCAGCCGCCGCGGUAAUUC